AGAACGAACGCUGGCGGCGUGGAUAAGACAUGCAAGUCGAACGCGACUUAUUUUGUUAGCAAUAACAGAGUAAGUUGAGUGGCGAAAGGGUGCGUAACACGUGGGAAUUUACCAAGAAGUGGGGAAUAGCUCGACGAAAGUCGAAUUAAUACCGCAUACGAUCGCAAGAUCAAAGCCGGGGACCGCAAGGCCUGGCGCUUUUUGAGAAGCCCGCGGCCCAUCAGCUAGUUGGCGGGGUAAAAGCCCACCAAGGCUAUGACGGGUAGCUGGUCUGAGAGGACGACCAGCCACACUGGAACUGAGACACGGUCCAGACACCUACGGGUGGCAGCAGUCGAGAAUUUUUCACAAU
rnacentral:rRNA from 1 species